AGGAACGGGGUGGGGCUUGGACACCUAGGUUUUGCGGAGGCUUCCGGGUGGGAGAAUCUCUUUCGGCGAUAUUGGUAGCAGCGUUUUAGACCGGAAGAAAGUCAAGUAAAUUGUCUUUCGGAUUCUAGCCAUCCAGAGGCAGCUUUUAAGAAGUCUCUAGGAAUGGGGCCUACCCAGUCCUGUUAGAGCGCAAAAAUCCCUUCUUGAAGCACCAUGAUCCCCUUAGAGCACUAUGAUACCUGGAGGUGGUAGAGGUAAGCUGACACUGUCCAAAUUAGACUAGGAUCUAUUUGUUAAAGCUGGUGGCAGUCUUACCAGUGUUUGGGACUGCCCAGAAAUCUGGAUUCUUCCAAGAUGUCCCAUUUGGAUAUGGGGACUCCAUGGUUGAGCAUCACCUUCUUACGGACAAUUAAAAAUAAGCCCUCAGAAGGAAAGGCAGGGAGCAGAGGUGAAGAGAGUGGAAAGUUGCCAUUGGUCAAAUGAUGGGCUGUGUUUAUUUUCAAUCACAAAACUAUACACCCAUGCUCACCCAGUGUCUGUCCACAUCCAGGUACUAGUCUGGGAAUGUUCUAAAUAAGGCAAAGCUUGGAAGUAUACCUGCUCUUUGGGGAAAACGAACCCUCAAGUAUUAUUCCUAAUUAUUUUUGUCCUUUAGUCAUGCCUGGUCUUCCAAAUACAGGAUCAGACAUUUACCCACGUCUCGCUCUCCUCUUAUAAAUAUUCAUUCAUUUUUUUUCUUUCAAUAAAUAUUGAGAGCUUACUAUGUGCUAAGCACCAUACUGGGCACUAAACCUUCCGACAUGGGUAAGACCCAGGCCCUGACCUUACACCAUUGAUAGUGCCGGGGAAGAUGCAAAUGGGCCAUUUCAAAAUGAUGUGUUAAGUAUUCCCCAAAAUGAAAUAAGGUGCUCUGGAGCCUCGCCUCCUCUGAGAAAGGUUUCCUUCCUUGCCCUUAGGCUGCAUUACGCACUCUUUCUAAAGCAAGUCUCCAGAGCACCUUAUUUUCUCAAUUAAGAUUUAUUGAAAGAAAAAAAUGAAUGAAUAAAUGUUUCUAAGAAACAGGUUGUGAAUGGUCUUACAGGUUUUGUACCAUUUGGGGUUAUUCAAAAACCAACUGAUGUGUGAGCCCAUUUUGUAAGAGCAGUUUUAUUUUUUUUAUUUUUAUUUUUUUUAAAGAUUUUAUUUAUUUAUUUGGCAGAGAGAGACACAAUGAGAGAGGGAACACAAGCAGGGGGAGUGGGAGAGCGAG